UACGGAGGGUGCAAGCGUUAUCCGGAUUCACUGGGUUUAAAGGGUGCGUAGGCGGACAGGUAAGUCAGUGGUGAAAUCUCUGGGCUUAACCCAGAAACUGCCGUUGAUACUAUUUGUCUUGAAUAUCCUGGAGGUAGGCGGAAUAUGUCAUGUAGCGGUGAAAUGCUUAGAUAUGACAUAGAACACCGAUAGCGAAGGCAGCUUACUACAGGAUGAUUGACGCUGAGGCACGAAAGCGUGGGGAGCAACCAGG
rnacentral:rRNA from 1 species